rnacentral:lncRNA from 1 species
ACAAACAAGAUGAGGACACCUGUCUGUCCAUUGUAAAUAAUGUACAUAAUUCCUCAUCUCAAAAAUAUAGAAUAGUGUGAUAAUAAUGAUAAUAAUAACACCUACAACAGCUUUGAUUGUACUAAUUCUACCAUCGGUUGUCAUAUGUUGGCAUUUAGGCCAUGUGCAAAACUUAUUAUUUUUUCUAUAUUUUUCUCAGUUUUUUUAAGGUGUUUUUUUUAUAAUGUUUUAUUUUGUACCUUGUUUUGAAAACCUUAUACAUGGUUAAUAGUUUAGCUUAUGAGAUUCAUUAAUAAUGUAUACAAAUAAACAUUUUCUGUGUGUGUAGACACAAGCAUGGCUGUGUGGUUGAGAAGCUUGCUUCCUAACCAUAUUGUCUUGAGUUCAGUCCUACUGUGUGACACCUUGGGCAAGUGUCUUCUACUGUGGCCCCGGGCUGAGCAAUGCCUUGUGAGUGGAUUUGGUUGAAGGAAACUGAAAGAAACCCAUUGCAUAUACAUGUGUGUAUGUGAGUAAUAUAUAUAAAGUCUCGCUAUGCCUAAGCAAAAUAUUAAGAUGUGUGUGUGUGUGAAUGUAUGUGUGUACACACACAGUGUGUUCCUAAAUUAUCCAUUACAAUUUGAAAAAAUUGAAAAAACAAGUGAAAAAUCAGAAUAAUUCAGCAAAUUUUGGAAAACAUAAGUAAACGAAUAGAAUUUUAGAAAAUUACUAUUUUAAAAUCUAGCAAUGAGAGAUAUUCAGAAACUGUACUUUGGAGUAAAGAUUGUUUGCCAACAUAACAUGGCAGUCCUGGUUUAGGUAAAAUGUUGCUGUAAUUUAGCCCCAGGAGACAUCAUCCCUAGCUGGCUAUACGACACGAUCUGUGUCCUUAUAUUUUUCGAACAAGGGAAUCUUGCACCCCCACUCAGUUCAAAACAAUAUGUGUGUAUCAUGAUCUCUGGAUUAUUUCCCUUCAUCAACACAGAAUAAUUGUCUCCUGGGGCUAAAUUACAGCAACAUAUGUCCUAAACCAGGAUUGCCAUGUUACUCCAAACAGAAUUUUAUUAGAAACAACAGAACACUUCCUUGCAGGAUCCAUUGGUUGUAUGCAAAGCAUCAAUGGAUCUCAACUUUGCUACAAUAAAUUAUAGAAGUUGUAAAGAUAAUUUAUGAACAACUUAUAUAUAUAUAUAUAUAUAUAUAUAUGCACACCUGUAUUUAUCGAUGUGUGUAACUAUAUAUGUGUAUGUGUGUGUAUAUGUAAUAGGUAUUAUAUUCAUAGUGAAUUCUAGGCAGUUGUUUGUGUAAUUGAAAGACAUUAUUUAAAAUCCUUUUCACACACACAUACAUACUGCACUAUAUACAUGUGGAAAUGUAAAUGCCAUUGAUGAAAGCCAAGUUCAUUGUUGAGGAGUCCCAGUCAGUUGUUUGGAUAGAUCUAUGAUAUAGAAGCAGCUGAUGAAUGAAUGAUUUCAAUCAGUACUCCAGCUAUGGCCGUCCUGUCUUAUUUAUGGGGAAUGUUAUUCUUAGAUUUAAAAGUUCACAAAAGUGAUUCCUCAUUUUACAGACGGUAGAUAGUUUGUCAAGGGAGAGCUAGCUGUUAUUUUGAGCCGUUCAAAUGUCCAUAUAGAAGCCCUCUUUUUGGGCUCUUAACAGCAAGGUUUGUUUGGUGUGGUGCUCGAAUUAGAAUUUCUAAGAAAGUAAUUUUCUUUUGAAGGUUACCUUGGCUGUGAGCUACCUUAAUUCCUUAAGUUGGUAAAAUGGAAAAAAAAAAAAAAGCAUUAAAAAGUUUACGGUAUCACUGUGAAUACAUAUCAAGCUGUAGUCCUGCCUUAAUUCAUACAGUGGUGUGUGGUGGUAUGUGUAUGUGAUUGAGUAUAUUAAUGAAUGUGUGUAUGUAAGUGUGCCAUGUAUGUGGGCAUUUGAACACAUUUUUCACACAAAAUUACUUGACUCAGUGCUCUACAUAGAUGAUCAUUUCAUCCGGAACCAUUAUCUUGAAAAAAAAAACAAACAAAAAACAACACUGGCAGUUUUUCUGCUAUUGGUUUGAUUUGAGAAGACUCAAGACAGAAUGUAUAUUCUAAGGUAAAAACGCUAUUGCUUUAAUAGAAACUGUCGUUCCUUAUUAGAAGCUUUCAAAUCUAAAAGGAACAAUUUCUGUUGAAUUUUUUAAAAAAAUAAUUUUUUUAUAGAAAUGAUAGCAUGUCUUUCGUCUUUUCCAUUAUUUUUUUCCCCUUGUUUCCUUUGUUCCUCUCCAUCUGUUUUCCUUCUUUCAUGUAAUAAAAUUAAAACAAAAAAAAAACACCAAAAACAAUAAAACAAAUUAGAGUUU